CAGCAGCCGCGGUAAUACGAAGGGUGCAAGCGUUAAUCGGAAUUACUGGGCGUAAAGCGCACGCAGGCGGUCUGUCAAGUCAGAUGUGAAAUCCCCGGGCUUAACCUGGGAACUGCAUUUGAAACUGGCAGGCUAGAGUCUUGUAGAGGGGGGUAGAAUUCCAGGUGUAGCGGUGAAAUGCGUAGAGAUCUGGAGGAAUACCGGCGGCGAAGGCGGCCCCCUGGACAAAGACUGACGCUCAGGUGCGAAAGCGUGGGGAGCAAACAGGAUUAGAUACCCGCGUAGUCCCUGUCUCUUAUAA
rnacentral:rRNA from 1 species